rnacentral:rRNA from 1 species
AUGAACGCUAGCUACAGGCUUAACACAUGCAAGUCGAGGGGCAGCAUGAACUUAGCUUGCUAAGUUUGAUGGCGACCGGCGCACGGGUGAGUAACACGUAUCCAACCUGCCGAUGACUCGGGGAUAGCCUUUCGAAAGAAAGAUUAAUACCCGAUGGCAUAGUUCUUCCGCAUGGUAGAACUAUUAAAGAAUUUCGGUCAUCGAUGGGGAUGCGUUCCAUUAGGUUGUUGGCGGGGUAACGGCCCACCAAGCCUUCGAUGGAUAGGGGUUCUGAGAGGAAGGUCCCCCACAUUGGAACUGAGACACGGUCCAAACUCCUACGGGAGGCAGCAGUGAGGAAUAUUGGUCAAUGGACGAGAGUCUGAACCAGCCAAGUAGCGUGAAGGAUGACUGCCCUAUGGGUUGUAAACUUCUUUUAUACGGGAAUAAAGUGAGGCACGUGUGCCUUUUUGUAUGUACCGUAUGAAUAAGGAUCGGCUAACUCCGUGCCAGCAGCCGCGGUAAUACGGAGGAUCCGAGCGUUAUCCGGAUUUAUUGGGUUUAAAGGGAGCGUAGGCGGACGCUUAAGUCAGUUGUGAAAGUUUGCGGCUCAACCGUAAAAUUGCAGUUGAUACUGGGUGUCUUGAGUACAGUAGAGGCAGGCGGAAUUCGUGGUGUAGCGGUGAAAUGCUUAGAUAUCACGAAGAACUCCGAUUGCGAAGGCAGCCUGCUGGACUGUAACUGACGCUGAUGCUCGAAAGUGUGGGUAUCAAACAGGAUUAGAUACCCUGGUAGUCCACACAGUAAACGAUGAAUACUAGGUGUAGGGGAUAUUAAAAUUCUCUGUGCCGCCGCUAACGCAAUAAGUAUCCCACCUGGGGAGUACGGCCGCAAGGUUGAAACUCAAAGGAAUUGACGGGGGCCCGCACAAGCGGAGGAACAUGUGGUUUAAUUCGAUGAUACGCGAGGAACCUUACCCGGGCUUGAAUUGCAACUGAAUGAUGUGGAGACAUGUCAGCCGCAAGGCAGUUGUGAAGGUGCUGCAUGGUUGUCGUCAGCUCGUGCCGUGAGGUGUCGGCUUAAGUGCCAUAACGAGCGCAACCCUUAUCGAUAGUUACCAUCAGGUGAUGCUGGGGACUCUGUCGAGACUGCCGUCGUAAGAUGUGAGGAAGGUGGGGAUGACGUCAAAUCAGCACGGCCCUUACGUCCGGGGCUACACACGUGUUACAAUGGGGGGUACAGAAGGCAGCUACACGGCGACGUGAUGCUAAUCCCGAAAGCCUCUCUCAGUUCGGAUUGGAGUCUGCAACCCGACUCCAUGAAGCUGGAUUCGCUAGUAAUCGCGCAUCAGCCACGGCGCGGUGAAUACGUUCCCGGGCCUUGUACACACCGCCCGUCAAGCCAUGAAAGCCGGGGGUACCUGAAGUGCGUAACCGCAAGGAGCGCCCUAGGGUAAAACUGGUGAUUGGGGCU